CAGCCGCCGCGGUAAUACAGAGGGUGCGAGCGUUAAUCGGAUUUACUGGGCGUAAAGCGUGCGUAGGCGGCUUUUUAAGUCGGAUGUGAAAUCCCUGAGCUUAACUUAGCAAUUGCAUUCGAUACUGGGAAGCUAGAGUAUGGGAGAGGAUGGUAGAAUUCCAGGUGUAGCGGUGAAAUGCGUAGAGAUCUGGAGGAAUACCGAUGGCGAAGGCAGCCAUCUGGCCUAAUACUGACGCUGAGGUACGAAAGCAUGGGGAGCAAACAGGAUUAGAUACCCCUGUAGUCCCUGUCUCUUAUAA
rnacentral:rRNA from 1 species